rnacentral:lncRNA from 1 species
AUGGGUAAUCGAUCAAUCACUGUGGAUGGGUUAUCGAUCAGUUAUCGAUGGGUUAUCGAUCAAUCACUGUGGAUGGGUUAUCGAUGGGUUAUUGAUCAAUCACUGUGGAUGGGUUAUCGAUGGGUUAUCGAUCACUAUCGCUGGGUUAUUGAUCAGUUAUCGAUAGGUUAUCAAUCAAUCACUGUGGAUGGGUUAUCGAUCAGUUAUCGAUCAGUUAUCGAUGGGUUAUUGAUUGUUAUCGAUAGGUUAUUGAUCAAUCACUGUGGAUGGGUUAUCGCUGGGUUAUCAAUCAGUUAUCGCUGGGUUAUUGAUCAAUCACUGUGGAUGGGUUAUCGAUCAGUUAUCGAUGGGUUAUUGAUCAAUCACUGUGGAUGGGUUAUCGAUCAGUUAUCGAU